rnacentral:rRNA from 1 species
UACGUAGGUGGCAAGCGUUGUCCGGAUUUACUGGGUGUAAAGGACGUGCAGCCGGGCUGACAAGUCAGAUGUGAAAUCCCGCGGCUCAACCGCGGAACUGCAUUUGAAACUGUCAGUCUUGAGUACCGGAGAGGUCAUCGGAAUUCCUUGUGUAGCGGUGAAAUGCGUAGAUAUAAGGAAGAACACCAGUGGCGAAGGCGGAUGACUGGACGGCAACUGACGGUGAGGCGCGAAAGCGUGGGGAGCAAACAGG